UACAGAGGGGGCAAGCGUUGUUCGGAAUUACUGGGCGUAAAGGGCGCGUAGGCGGCCUGCUAAGUCGAACGUGAAAUCCCCGGGCUCAACCCGGGAACUGCGUCCGACACUGGCAGGCUUGAAUUCGGGAGAGGGAUGCGGAAUUCCAGGUGUAGCGGUGAAAUGCGUAGAUAUCUGGAGGAACACCGGUGGCGAAGGCGGCAUCCUGGACCGAAAUUGACGCUGAGGCGCGAAAGCCAGGGGAGCAAACGGGG
rnacentral:rRNA from 1 species